GAGCAGGAUGAAGCGAAAGUAAAAUUUCGUGGAGGUCCGAACCCACGAGCGUUGAAAAGCUCGGGGAUGACUUGUGGGUAGCGGUGAAAUUCCAAUCGAGCCCGGAGAUAGCUGGUUCUCCCCGAAAUAGCUUUAGGGCUAGCCUCAAGGUGAGAGAUACGGAGGUAGAGCACUGAAUGUCCUAGGGGGUAUUGCACCUACCGAAGACUAUUAAACUCCGAAUGCCGUCAUCUUAUACUUGGGAGUCAGACUGUGGGUGAUAAGAUUCAUAGUCGAAAGGGCAACAGCCCAGAUCGUCAGCUAAGGUCCCUAAAUGUAAGUUAAGUGGUAAAGGAUGUGGGAUUGCACAGACAACCAGGAUGUUGGCUUAGAAGCAGCCACUCAUUCAAAGAGUGCGUAAUAGCUCACUGGUCGAGUGAUCCUGCGCCGAAGAUUUCCGGGGCUAAAACUUACUACCGAAGCU
rnacentral:rRNA from 1 species